AGGCCUAUAGUUUAACUGGUAGAGCACACCGCUCAUAACGGUGAAUGUGUAGGUUCGAGCCCUACUAGGCCUA
rfam:Klebsormidium nitens mitochondrial DNA, contig: KFL_3731.